UACAGAGAGGGCAAGCGUUGUCCGGAAUGACUGGGCGUAAAGCGCGCGCAGGCGGUCUUUUAAGUUGGGUGUGAAAUCCCCGGGCUUAACCUGGGAACUGCAUUCGAUACUGGAAGACUAGAGGCCGAGAGAGGAAAGCGGAAUGACGAGUGUAGAGGUGAAAUUCGUAGAUAUUCGUCGGAACACCAGAGGCGAAGGCGGCUUUCUGGCUCGGACCUGACGCUCAGGCGCGAAAGCGUGGGGAGCAAACAGGAUUAGAUACCCUGGUAGUCCACGCCCUAAACGAUGAGUGCUAGAUGUCGGAUUUUCGGAUUCGGUGUCGCAGCUAACGCACUAAGCACUCCGCCUGGGGAGUACGGUCGCAAGAUUAAA
rnacentral:rRNA from 1 species